CUGUAAAUCUAGCCCCCCUCCCCCUCCCCUUUAAAUCUUAACUAAAAUAUUUCAACAGCCUAGUAAAGAAGAUCGAAAAACUUUUAAGCGCUAUAAAUCUGUACCGCAAGGGAAUGAUGAAAUAAAAAUGAAAUAAAUUUUAAGCACAAAAAAGUAGAGACCCACCCUCGUACCUUUUGCAUCAUGGUUUAGCUAGUUUAACUAGGCAAAAAGACCUUAAGUCUAACCCCCCGAAACUAAGUGAGCUAUCUUGAGGCUGCUUAACGAGCUUACCCGUCUAUGUUGCAAAAUAGUGGGAUGACCUCAAGAUAGAGGUGACAGACCUUACUGAACUUAGUGAUAGCUGGUUUCUCAAGAAAAGAAUUUUAGUCCAACCUAAAGUGAUACCAAAUCGCAUAAUUUUCCCCCCCACUUUAGAGCAAUUCAAAUGAGGUACAGCCCAUCUGAUACAGGAUCCAACCUUCAUUACGGGUAAUAAUUAACUUACACCUACAAGUAGACCUAAGAGCAGCCACCUUUUAAAAAGCGUCAAAGCUUAACCACGUGCAUAUUAAUCCAUAAACCACCAUCGAACCCUUUAACCGUACUGAGAACUUCUAUAACACUAUAGAACCUUUUAUGCUAAAACUAGUAACAAGAGAUAAACCCUCUCCUAAUGCAAACAUAAGCCAGCAAGAACCCAUCACUGGCAACUAACAGACAAACAAAAGUAGCAACUCUACUAGAAAACCCUACUUCCCACACUGUUAACCUUACACCAGAGCAUUUCAAGAAAGAUUAAAAGAAAAAGAAGGAACUCGGCAAAUAUUAGCCUCGCCUGUUUACCAAAAACAUCGCCUCUUGCCCCUCCCCUAAGAGGUCCAGCCUGCCCAGUGACUUUGUUCAACGGCCGCGGUAUCCUAACCGUGCAAAGGUAGCGUAAUCACUUGUCUUCUAAAUAAAGACCAGUAUGAAUGGCAUCACGAAGACUAAACUGUCUCCUUUUUCUAAUCAGUGAACCUAAUCUCCCCGUGAAGAAACGGGGAUUCUUCUAUAAGACGAGAAGACCCUAUGGAGCUUUAAACAUCAUAACACCUGCUACUUCUUACAACCACCCAGGUAAUUACCCCCCCAGCACACUGUUUAUAAGUUUUUGGUUGGGGUGACCGCGGAGAAAAACCUAUCCUCCACAAUGAAAGGGACUAUCCCCCUAAACAAUAAGUUACAACUUUAUAUAUCAACAAAUUGACAUCCAUUGACCCAACAAAUUGAUCAACGAACCAAGUUACCCUAGGGAUAACAGCGCAAUCCACUUUGAGAGCCCCUAUCGACAAGUGGGCUUACGACCUCGAUGUUGGAUCGGGGAUCCAAGUGGCGCAGCCGCUAAUAAAGGUUCGUUGUUCAACGAUAA
rnacentral:rRNA from 1 species